GCACUAUACGGUGAAACUGCGAAUGGCUCAUUAAAUCAGUUAUCGUUUAUUUGAUAGUACCUUACUACUUGGAUAACCGUGGUAAUUCUAGAGCUAAUACAUGCUAAAAACCCCGACUUCGGGAGGGGUGUAUUUAUUAGAUAAAAAACCAAUGCCCUUCGGGGCUCUUUGGUGAUUCAUAAUAACUAAACGAAUCGCAUGGCCUUGCGCCGGCGAUGGUUCAUUCAAAUUUCUGCCCUAUCAACUUUCGAUGGUAGGAUAGUGGCCUACCAUGGUUUCAACGGGUAACGGGGAAUUAGGGUUCUAUUCCGGAGAGGGAGCCUGAGAAACGGCUACCACAUCCAAGGAAGGCAGCAGGCGCGCAAAUUACCCAAUCCCAAUACGGGGAGGUAGUGACAAUAAAUACUGAUACAGGGCUCUUAUGGGUCUUGUAAUCGGAAUGAGUACAAUUUAAAUCCCUUAACGAGGAACAAUUGGAGGGCAAGUCUGGUGCCAGCAGCCGCGGUAAUUCCAGCUCCAAUAGCGUAUAUUAAAGUUGUUGCAGUUAAAAAGCUCGUAGUUGAACCUUGGGUCUGGCUGGUCGGUCCGCCUCACCGCGUGUACUGAUCCGGCCGGGCCUUUCCUUCUGGCUAGCCGCAUGUCCUUCACUGGGUGUGUUGGCGAACCAGGACUUUUACUUUGAAAAAAUUAGAGUGUUCAAAGCAGGCCUUUGCUCGAAUACAUUAGCAUGGAAUAAUAGAAUAGGACGUGCGGUCCUAUUUUGUUGGUUUCUAGGACCGCCGUAAUGAUUAAUAGGGAUAGUCGGGGGUAUCAGUAUUCAAUUGUCAGAGGUGAAAUUCUUGGAUUUAUUGAAGACUAACUACUGCGAAAGCAUUUACCAAGGAUGUUUUCAUUAAUCAGUGAACGAAAGUUAGGGGAUCGAAGACGAUCAGAUACCGUCGUAGUCUUAACCGUAAACUAUGCCGACUAGGGAUCGGGCGAUGUUAUUUUUUUGACUCGCUCGGCACCUUACGAGAAAUCAAAGUC
rnacentral:rRNA from 2 species